UUGGGGUUGUUUUGUUGGAUUUGGGGCCUGGUUCCAGUGGCCCAAUGGCGGAUUUUGGCCACACAAGGUCACUCGAAGAGGAGGAAACUCGGCAGCUGAUUUCACGUCAGCAAACACUGACUUCCUUUUUUUUUGCUUAAUCAGUCAGAAAAGGAGCGUCCGUGGGAGACUAAAGUCUGCCGUUGUGAAAUCAACUCGGGCCCUUCGGACGAUGACUUCAGCGUUGGGAGAUCCGCGCACGUGGACCCCGAGACAAGAUGGCGUCGCCGAUUGGCAAAGGAAGCCAAAACAGGACGCGGACGACGGAGAUGGACGGCAGAUAGCGCGAGAAUGCGCAGGAAGGGCGGGCGAAAGUCCAGAUAAAGAAAAGUGUUGGGGAAGGCGGCGAAUGUCACGCCCGACGUGCGGAGCCGCAAGGUCAGAGGUCGAGCGGUGCCGUUCCAACGCGAAGCUCCACGAACGACGGGGAACUUUCGCAUCUUCAGCGACACGACAGAAACGUAGCGCGAAGCCGCGUCGCCGUGCUCGUGAGUCACCUGCAGGAAAACGCCCACCACGGCCAGUCCGUCGGCUUUGCCGGCGGCCUCUCCGAAGUCGGCGUAUUUGGUGUUCCAGUGGACCAGGUGGAGCUGCCGAGGGGCCG